AAAAAUCAAGGGGCAUAAUGGAGCGGCGGAGCGAGGGCGGGGUGCCGAAAGCCUUUCCGGGAGGAAAUGGGCAGAAAGAAAGACGGAGGGAGCCGGACGGGCUGUCGCGUUUUAGGUUUUUUUAACGUGAGCUUUUUCCUGUUUCAGAGCGGCCGAGGAGGACCAGCAGGCCCAGUCCAAGAAAGCGCUGAAGAAACAGCAGAAGGAAGCAGAGAAAGCGGCGAAGAAGGCCGAGAAACAGGCCAAGCUGGCGGCUGAGCAGCAGACAUCUGAUGAGGAUGACUUUGCGAAGGACCGGUACGGAGUGUCUGCGAUGGUGCAGUCUCAGGAGAAACUGGGUGAGUAUCUUCACCUUGCUGUCAGUUUACCACACACUUACCUCACCUCUUCAGCAGCUCAGUGUGUGAA
rnacentral:lncRNA from 1 species